rnacentral:rRNA from 1 species
UACGAAGGGGGCUAGCGUUGUUCGGAAUCACUGGGCGUAAAGCGCACGCAGGCGGAUCGGUAAGUCGGGGGUGAAAGCCCGGGGCUCAACCUCGGAAUUGCCUUCGAUACUGUCGGUCUCGAGUCCGGGAGAGGUGAGUGGAAUUCCUAGUGUAGAGGUGAAAUUCGUAGAUAUGAGGAAGAACACCAGUGGCGAAGGCGGCUCUCUGGCCCGGUACUGACGCUCAGGUGCGAAAGCGUGGGGAGCAAACAGG